rnacentral:rRNA from 1 species
GACGAACGCUGGCGGCGGGCUUAACACAUGCAAGUCGAACGGAAAGGCCCUGCUUUUGUGGGGUGCUCGAGUGGCGAACGGGUGAGUAACACGUGAGUAACCUGCCCUUGACUUUGGUAUAACUUCAGGAAACUGGGGCUAAUACCGGAUAGGAGCUCCUGCUGCAUUGUGGGGGUUGGAAAGUUUCGGCGGUUGGGGAUGGACUCGCGGCUUAUCAGCUUGUUGGUUGGGUAGUGGCCUACCAAGGCUUUGACGGGUAGCCGGCCUGAGAGGGUGAACGGCCACAUUGGGACUGAGAUACGGCCCAGACUCCUACGGGAGGCAGCAGUGGGGAACAUUGCACAAUGGGCGGAAGCCUGAUGCAGCAACGCCGCGUGCGGGAUGACGGCCUUCGGGUUGUAAACCGCUUUAGCCUGUGACGAAGCGUGAGUGACGGUAAUGGGUAAAGAAGCACCGGCUAACUACGUG